rnacentral:misc_RNA from 1 species
GAUGAAGAACGCAGCGAAAUGCGAUAAGUAAUGUGAAUUGCAGAAUUCAGUGAAUCAUCGAAUCUUUGAACGCACCUUGCGCCCUUUGGCUAUUCCGAAGGGCAUGCCUGUUUGAGUAUCAUGAACAUCUCAACUCCUCACGGUUCGCCCGUGACGAGCUUGGACUUUGGGGGUCUUGCCGGCCUGCGGGUCGGCUCCUCUCAAAUGAAUCAGCUUGCCGGUGUUUGGUGGCGUCACAGGUGUGAUAAAUAUCUACGCUUGUGGUUUUCCGCCAGGUAACCUCCAGCGAUGGGGGUUCACUGGAGCUCACGAAUGUCUCUCCUCGGUGAGGACAGCUCUUUGAACGUUUGAUCUCAAAUCAGGUAGGGCUACCCGCUGAACUUAAGCAUAUCAUAAGCGGAGGA